GUAACGACAGACGAUGUCGGCACAGGAUGUCGGUAUACAGAUUUCUUGAACGUCAAUUGUCAACUUGACCUGUCUUUUUUAUCGAGAUUGCUGUGGCACAUGCACUAAGUGAACAUACGCCACAAUGCAAAUUUUUGUGAAAACCCUCACGGGUAAAACCAUUACCCUCGAAGUAGAACCUUCUGACACUAUCGAAAAUGUGAAAGCAAAAAUCCAAGACAAGGAGGGUAUACCUCCAGAUCAGCAACGUCUUAUUUUUGCUGGUAAACAACUUGAAGAUGGACGCACCCUUUCAGACUAUAAUAUUCAAAAAGAGUCGACUCUUCAUUUAGUAUUAAGAUUGAGAGGUGGCAUUAUUGAACCUUCUUUACGUAUCUUGGCACAGAAAUACAAUUGUGACAAAAUGAUUUGCCGUAAAUGUUAUGCUAGGUUACAUCCUCGUGCAACUAAUUGUCGCAAGACUAAAUGCGGGCAUACCAACAAUCUCCGCCCAAAGAAGAAGCUUAAGUAGAAUGUAUUUAUUUCAAUCUUACUGGAACAUCUUGUAAGAGUUUUUAUUAAUAAACCUGUUUACUCCUAA